AUAAAGUUUAAUUCUGGCUUAAAGAUUUAUUUAANUUUUUUUUUACAUGUAAAUUUUUGUGAGUAUUUUAAUUGAAUUUUAAUAAUUUUUUUAAAAUAUUUUUUAUUCGCAGUAUAUAUUUUUAAUAAUUUAAGAAAUUAAGAAUUAUAAAUAAAUUUUAAUAUUGACAAAUUUUGUGCCAGCAGUUGCGGUUAUACAAAGAAUAUAAAUAAAUUUUAUUAGUAAAUAAUUAUAUGAUAUAUUUAAAUUUAGAAUUAGAUUAUAUUUAUUAGGUGAAAUUUUAAAUAUAAAAUUAAUUUUGUUAAAAAUUUUUAUUAUUAUGAAAUUUAUUUUUAAACUAGGAUUAGAUACCCUAUUAUUUUAAAUGUAAAAUAAAUAUACUAAAGUAGUAUUAGUUAUGUUCUUGAAAUUUAAAGAUUUUGGCGGUAUUUUAGUCUAUUUAGAGGAGCCUGUUCUAUAAUUGAUAAUCCACGAUUAAUUUUACUUAAUUUAAAUAAAUUUGUAUACCGUCGUUAUAAGAAGAUUUUAAAAGAAUAUAAAUUUUUAAUAUUUUAUAUAAAAAAAUAUAUCAGAUCAAGGUGCAGUUUAUAAUUGAGAAGAAAUGGGCUACAAUAAAUUUAUUUAUUUAUACGGAUUAAAGUAUGUAUAUUAACUUUAUGAAGGUGGAUUUAAUAGUAAUAAAAUUGAUUUUAAUUUUAUGAUUUUAGCUCUAAAAUAUGUACAUAUCGCCCGUCGCUCUUAUUAUAAAAUAAGAUAAGUCGUAACAUAGUAGAUGUACUGGAAAGUGUAUCUAGAAUGAU
rnacentral:ncRNA from 1 species